rnacentral:rRNA from 1 species
GACGAACGCUGGCGGCGUGCUUAACACAUGCAAGUCGAACGGAAAGGCCCUGCUUUCGUGGGGUGCUCGAGUGGCGAACGGGUGAGUAACACGUGAGUAACCUGCCCUUGACUUUGGGAUAACUUCAGGAAACUGGGGCUAAUACCGGAUAGGAGCUCCUGCUGCAUGGUGGGGGUUGGAAAGUUUCGGCGGUUGGGGAUGGACUCGCGGCUUAUCAGCUUGUUGGUGGGGUAGUGGCUUACCAAGGCUUUGACGGGUAGCCGGCCUGAGAGGGUGACCGGCCACAUUGGGACUGAGAUACGGCCCAGACUCCUACGGGAGGCAGCAGUGGGGAAUAUUGCACAAUGAGCGGAAGCCUGAUGCAGCAGCGCCGCGUGCGGGAUGACGGCCUUCGGGUUGUGAACCGCUGUCGCCUGUGACGAAGCGGGAGUGACGGUAAUGGGUAAAGAAGCACCGGCUAACUACGUG